UCACCAGUCUCGCCAUUUUCGAAGGCUCUGCUAUCGGCGCUGGUUUGGAAUCUGUUGGGCCACGUAUUGUACUCCCGCUGCAGGUGGUGACCUGUGGAACCCAGAGGAGUACCUUCUUGCUGAUCGCCACGUGUUGGGAGCGGCUAGAGAACGUCACUACAGUAUUCUGCAUGUUAUUCACCAGUUAUUUUUCUUUUCACGUCUGUUAUGCUGAAAGAUUGUAGUCUACUUUGGAAUUCGUUCAAAGAUAUGCCGAGCAGCAGGCCAAUGGAAGCUUGUACCCAUUGCAUCACUGGCGGACGCCCAGCCGCACUGGGGAUCGAACCUCGCACCAUCCGCAUGGCACUUUUGGUAUUAACCCAGACCAUGGAAGCAAGGCUGAGAAAAAAAGCAAGGAAAGAGAACCCAAAAACAUUCAGUUUGACGAAAAAAUCAUGGAUUCUGAAUGGAAUGUUUACAUUUUUGAACACCUAAAAAAGUACAAGAUGGAUCAAACUGCUACAAAGAGAUUAUGAUAAAGUUAUUUAUUGUGCCUGGAAUGGACAUAUGCCAAAUGCAGAAUCCAGGUGUGUGGAGAACUUUAAUAAAUAGCAGUAUUGCCCAUUUCCA